rnacentral:rRNA from 1 species
GGUGAAGCCCCGCUUGCGGGGUGGAUCAGUGGCGAACGGGUGAGUAACACGUGAGCAACCUGCCCCUGACUCUGGGAUAAGCGCUGGAAACGGCGUCUAAUACUGGAUACGAGACGUGAUCGCAUGGUCAACGUUUGGAAAGAUUUUUCGGUUGGGGAUGGGCUCGCGGCCUAUCAGCUUGUUGGUGAGGUAAUGGCUCACCAAGGCGUCGACGGGUAGCCGGCCUGAGAGGGUGACCGGCCACACUGGGACUGAGACACGGCCCAGACUCCUACGGGAGGCAGCAGUGGGGAAUAUUGCACAAUGGGCGCAAGCCUGAUGCAGCAACGCCGCGUGAGGGAUGACGGCCUUCGGGUUGUAAACCUCUUUUAGCAGGGAAGAAGCGAGAGUGACGGUACCUGCAGAAAAAGCACCGGCUAACUACGUGCCAGCAGCCGCGGUAAUACGUAGGGUGCAAGCGUUAUCCGGAAUUAUUGGGCGUAAAGAGCUCGUAGGCGGUUUGUCGCGUCUGCUGUGAAAUCUGGGGGCUCAACCCCCAGCCUGCAGUGGGUACGGGCAGACUAGAGUGCGGUAGGGGAGAUUGGAAUUCCUGGUGUAGCGGUGGAAUGCGCAGAUAUCAGGAGGAACACCGAUGGCGAAGGCAGAUCUCUGGGCCGUAACUGACGCUGAGGAGCGAAAGGGUGGGGAGCAAACAGGCUUAGAUACCCUGGUAGUCCACCCCGUAAACGUUGGGAACUAGUUGUGGGGUCCAUUCCACGGAUUCCGUGACGCAGCUAACGCAUUAAGUUCCCCGCCUGGGGAGUACGGCCGCAAGGCUAAAACUCAAAGGAAUUGACGGGGACCCGCACAAGCGGCGGAGCAUGCGGAUUAAUUCGAUGCAACGCGAAGAACCUUACCAAGGCUUGACAUAUACGAGAACGGGCCAGAAAUGGUCAACUCUUUGGACACUCGUAAACAGGUGGUGCAUGGUUGUCGUCAGCUCGUGUCGUGAGAUGUUGGGUUAAGUCCCGCAACGAGCGCAACCCUCGUUCUAUGUUGCCAGCACGUAAUGGUGGGAACUCAUGGGAUACUGCCGGGGUCAACUCGGAGGAAGGUGGGGAUGACGUCAAAUCAUCAUGCCCCUUAUGUCUUGGGCUUCACGCAUGCUACAAUGGCCGGUACAAUGGGCUGCAAUACCGUGAGGUGGAGCGAAUCCCAAAAAGCCGGUCCCAGUUCGGAUUGAGGUCUGCAACUCGACCUCAUGAAGUCGGAGUCGCUAGUAAUCGCAGAUCAGCAACGCUGCGGUGAAUACGUUCCCGGGUCUUGUACACACCGCCCGUCAAGUCAUGAAAGUCGGUAACACCUGAAG